rnacentral:rRNA from 1 species
AAAUGCAAGUCGAGCGGACAGAAGGGAGCUUGCUCCCGGAUGUUAGCGGCGGACGGGUGAGUAACACGUGGGUAACCUGCCUGUAAGACUGGGAUAACUCCGGGAAACCGGAGCUAAUACCGGAUAGUUCCUUGAACCGCAUGGUUCAAGGAUGAAAGACGGUUUCGGCUGUCACUUACAGAUGGACCCGCGGCGCAUUAGCUAGUUGGUGGGGUAAUGGCUCACCAAGGCGACGAUGCGUAGCCGACCUGAGAGGGUGAUCGGCCACACUGGGACUGAGACACGGCCCAGACUCCUACGGGAGGCAGCAGUAGGGAAUCUUCCGCAAUGGACGAAAGUCUGACGGAGCAACGCCGCGUGAGUGAUGAAGGUUUUCGGAUCGUAAAGCUCUGUUGUUAGGGAAGAACAAGUGCGAGAGUAACUGCUCGCACCUUGACGGUACCUAACCAGAAAGCCACGGCUAACUACGUGCCAGCAGCCGCGGUAAUACGUAGGUGGCAAGCGUUGUCCGGAAUUAUUGGGCGUAAAGGGCUCGCAGGCGGUUUCUUAAGUCUGAUGUGAAAGCCCCCGGCUCAACCGGGGAGGGUCAUUGGAAACUGGGAAACUUGANUGCUGAAGAGGAGAGUGGAAUUCCACGUGUACCGCCGAAUUGCUUAUAGA